rnacentral:rRNA from 1 species
AGUGGCGGACGGGUGAGUAACACGUAAGAAUUUGCCUUUAGGAGGGGGACAACAACUGGAAACGGUUGCUAAUACCCCAUAUGCUUUCGAGUGAAAUGGAUUUUUCCGCCUAGAGAGAAGCUUGCGGCUGAUUAGCUUGUUGGUGAGGUAAUGGCUCACCAAGGCGACGAUCAGUAUCUGGUUUGAGAGGAUGAUCAGACACACUGGAACUGAGACACGGUCCAGACUCCUACGGGAGGCAGCAGUGGGGAAUUUUCCGCAAUGGGCGAAAGCCUGACGGAGCAAUCUCGCGUGAGGGAUGACGGCCUAUGGGUUGUAAACCUCUUUUUUCAGGGAGGAACAAAAUGACGUGUACCUGAAGAAUAAGCAUCGGCUAACUCCGUGCCAGCAGCCGCGGUAAGACGGAGGAUGCAAGUGUUAUCCGGAAUCACUGGGCGUAAAGCGUCUGUAGGUGGUUUAAUAAGUCAACUGUUAAAUCUUGAAGCUCAACUUCAAAAUCGCAGUCGAAACUAUUAGACUAGAGUAUAGUAGGGGUAAAGGGAAUUUCCAGUGGAGCGGUGAAAUGCGUAGAUAUUGGAAAGAACACCGAUGGCGAAGGCACUUUACUGGGCUAUUACUGACACUCAGAGACGAAAGCUAGGGUAGCAAAUGGGAUUAGAUACCCCAGUAGUCCUAGCCGUAAACAAUGGAUACUAGAUGU